rnacentral:lncRNA from 1 species
UCACUUUAGCUCAGUCGACAGCCCCUCCUGCCGUCCAUGGCCUCCACCUGGCCAGGCCCCUGGCAGGCACUCACACUGCCAGUCUGUCACAUCUCACCACACUGCUCUGCAAAGUCAGUGUUUUUUCAGGUGUGCUCAUCUUGGAUCCCAUCUGCUCACUGCAACCUCUGCCUCCUGGGUUCAAGCGAUUCUGCUGCUCAGCCUCCUGAGUAGCUG